AUUGAACGCUGGCGGCAUGCCUUACACAUGCAAGUCGAACGGCAGCACGGGAGCAAUCCUGGUGGCGAGUGGCGAACGGGUGAGUAAAGCAUCGGAACGUGCCCAGUCGUGGGGGGUAACGUAGCGAAAGCUACGCUAAUACCGCAUACGAUCUGUGGAUGAAAGCGGGGGACCGUAAGGCCUCGCGCGAUUGGAGCGGCCGAUGUCAGAUUAGGUAGUUGGUGAGGUAAAGGCUCACCAAGCCGACGAUCUGUAGCUGGUCUGAGAGGACGACCAGCCACACUGGGACUGAGACACGGCCCAGACUCCUACGGGAGGCAGCAGUGGGGAAUUUUGGACAAUGGGCGCAAGCCUGAUCCAGCAAUGCCGCGUGCAGGAUGAAGGCCUUCGGGUUGUAAACUGCUUUUGUACGGAGCGAAACGGCUUCCACUAAUACUGGGGGCUAAUGACGGUACCGUAAGAAUAAGCACCGGCUAACUACGUGCCAGCCGCCGCGGUAAAAC
rnacentral:rRNA from 1 species